AGGGCAGCGCUGCCAUUCGGCUGCCUCCUCACAGCACGCAGAGAACUUCAAAGCAGAAACAGGUUGGAUCUGUAGGAUGAGAAGCCAAAUGACAAGCCAGGCCCAAGAAGAACGUUGCUUAAGGCUGACAAGCAAUUGCCAAAGCCAACCUCUGAGAGCUCUCCAAGAAAGGAUCAAAACUUUACUGUGAGAUUGCAUCUACUGCUGCCAGAAUCUGCAGGAAGUUCAAGAAACAUCUUUUAUGCUAGCUCGUUGUAGCAGAAGUGCAAGUCACAGCCUGAAACAGUGAUUGAGUACCUGUGGGAGAAGCAGGGCCAAUCCAGGUGAGCUCAGGUGCAUUCAAUGCCUCUGAGUGACCAGAAGGAUUGAAGCCAGGAUCCAGCCCUUCCCAGAGCUCAUUUAAGGGUUGGCAGUGGAGACAAGGGUGUAUCACUGAUCUCUGCAUACCUGAAGCCUUCUGCAGGAGAUUCUUUAAUUCUCUUCAUGUUGAAUACUAGCUAAAGUAUUAAGACAGAAGAAUGCCAUUAUUCCUCCAACAGUAUGUGUUUGCAGCCUGUUCAUGAUAUUAUUUACAAUAAGCAGAAUCAA